rnacentral:rRNA from 1 species
UAGGGAAUAUUAGAAAUGGACGAAAGUCUGAUCUAGCGACACCGCGUGUGCGAUGAAGGCCUUCGGGUUGUAAAGCACUUUUUGGAAGGAUUAGGAAGGAAUGUACUUCCAGAAUAAGUCUCGGCUAACUACGUGCCAGCAGCCGCGGUAACACGUAGGAGGCAAACGUUAUCCGGAUUUACUGGGCGUAAAGCGCGUGUAGGUGGUUCUGUAAGUAGGGCGUGAAAGCUCCUGGCUCAACUGGGAGAGGCCGUUCUAAACUGCAGAGCUAGAGGAUGGUAGAGGGAGGUGGAAUUCCGGGUGUAGCGGUGGAAUGCGCAGAUAUCCGGAGGAACACCAGUGGCGAAAGCGGCCUCCUGGACCAUUCCUGACACUCAGACGCGAAAGCUAGGGUAGCGAACG